rnacentral:sRNA from 1 species
AUCGCUGCCAACCUAUCUAUCGCUGCCAAUUUAUCUACCACUGCCAAUCUAUCUAUUGCUGCUAAUCUAUCGCUGCUGCUAAUCUAUCUAUCGCUGCUAAUCUAUCGCCGCUGCCAAUCUAUCCCUCACUGCUAAGCUAUCCCUCGCUGCUAAGCUAUCCCUCGCUGCUAAGCUAUCUCUCACUGCUAAGCUAUCCCUCGCUGCUAAGCUAUCCCUCGCUGCUAAGCUAUCCCUCGCUGCUAAGCUAUCUAUCACUGCCAAUCUAUCUAUCGCUGCUAAUCUAUCGCUGCUAAUCUAUCGCUGCUAAUCUAUCGCUGCUAAUCUAUCGCUGCUAAUCUAUCGCUGCUAAUCUAUCGCUGCUAAUCUAUCGCUGCUAAUCUAUCGCUGCUAAUCUAUCGCUGCCAACCUAUCUACCGCGGCGAAUCUAUCUAUCACUAUCAUUACUAGUUCAAAAUAGAACUAGAGCAUAAAUACACUAAACUUCUUUUGAUAGGUAAUGAUUUUUGAUAACGCUCAUAGCAUUAUAUCAUCUAUAUAGGGUAAAUCAUGGUCCCAUUUGGUCCCAUUUUAACAAAAUGGGACCAAAUGGGACCAGAAUCAGUAAUUUAUAAGAAGAACAUGACCUGGGACUAGAUUUAUAAUAUAAACAGUGUAAAGUGACUAAUUUAAUAAACACUAUAUGGGAUCAGGAC